UACGGGGGGGGCAAGCGUUGUUCGGAAUUACUGGGCGUAAAGGGCUUGUAGGCGGCCAACUAAGUCAGACGUGAAAUCCCUCGGCUUAACCGGGGAACUGCGUCUGAUACUGGAUGGCUUGAGUUCGGGAGAGGGAUGCGGAAUUCCAGGUGUAGCGGUGAAAUGCGUAGAUAUCUGGAGGAACACCGGUGGCGAAGGCGGCAUCCUGGACCGACACUGAUGCUGAUGAGCGAAAGCCAGGGGAGCAAACGGG
rnacentral:rRNA from 1 species